rnacentral:rRNA from 1 species
GGACCAGUAUGUUGGUCGUGCUUCGGUACGUACUGUCAUUACCGGUUUCUACCUUCUGAAGAACCGCGAUGUCAUUAAUUUGGUGUCGUGGGAAAUCAGGACUGUUACUUUGAAAAAAUUAGAGUGUUCAAAGCAGGCACAACCUGGCAUCAUGAAUACAUUAGCAUGGGAUAAUAGAAU